rnacentral:lncRNA from 1 species
GUUUUGAUGUUGUUGUUUUUCUGGGAAACUCCAAGUUAUCUUCAAUAAUUAUAAAUGUUACACUUCUUUACUCAUGAAGAUCGGUGCUAUUCUAAUUCUUAUACACACAAAAAAUAACACACUAAUGUUAAAAUAUCAAGGAUAAACUGCUAGCAAUUACAUGAAAUUAGCUAUUCAAAUGAAGUUUUAUUUUUGUCUUAAUAUGCUGUUCUGUGCACUUUACCUUAUUUGGCUUCUUUGCCUUGAAGCAGACACUUGAAUUUUGAGAAGGGAAAAGAAAUUGCUGUUGUUUUGUUGAAUGGAUAAGUACAUAUGCUUAAAUGCUGCCCAACGAAAAAACAACAAGAAUUGUUCAGUCUGACUAUAGUGACUGUACUUGGCUUCUUCCAGUCCUGUGGCAGUGAUUCUAUAUGGAAGUUCUCUUGAUUCCUAAGAGAACACUGAAUGUGAGUCUGCUGCUGUUCUCUUUGUUGUUUUUCUGUCACUAGUACUAAAAUGUAGAGGGUAAAUGUGAUGUGUUUAGCCUUGUAGUAAUCAGAGGUAGUAUUGUAAGGCAGAUUUCUCCAGAAUCGGAGAUCAACCUUUUGCUUUUACUUGCAAUGGGGCUUGUUUGCAUAAUUAUGGGGAAGUCAUCUGCUUCUGUAUUUGAAAACUUGUCCAUAGAAAGGAAAGUAGUUUGCCUCAUAUGUAAAUAUGAAUACUAGUAACAUGUCAGCAAAGAUUUGUCUUUCAAUUUGCAGGGUAUUAAGUAACAUGAAGGACUGGACUCUCUUAAAAUUGUAUCAGCAAGUUGAAAUUGGAGGAUUUCUGCAUUGGUAGACCUUAUUACUGAUUGGUCAACUACUUUCUUUUUAUUUAUUUACAGAUACAGAGGAAAGCCUCUUCCUUAUGAUCCCUUCCCAAUAUGAGGUAGUUAAUGAAUGUACAAGGAUAUCUGGGGAGGUUUUAUGUGUAAAGGUUUUACAGCAAUGUAGGAUCCUGGAAAACGUUAAGAUUUCCCAGUUACAUAAAAACAAGCUUUAGUCAAAUGACUUAAUAUAAGCAGUCUUUGUUCAAAACAAAGAUUUUCUUGAGUAUUUCUUUGUUAAUGAAAAUUUCUGAAUUCAGAUUGUCUCAAUAAAAUGUUUAGAAAAUUAAUAAUUUUUUUCAAAAAGCCAUCUAGAAAUAUCCUUAGUAAGCCAGCUGUUACUGACAUAAUGUAUGAUUAUGUAUGAUUGAAAUUAAAAAGGGUCUAUUUCAUCAAAAUAACAGAGAUGACAACAUUAGCAUAAGGAAUUACUCAUGUUUAGAAGCAUCUAAAUAUUUUUUUCGUAAAUAAACAGUUACUGAGUUCUUGACAUACUAAAGGAAAUCCACAGGAAUAAAAAUGGUAAUGUGGGCUUUUGCAUAAAAUGCUCGAGCGUUUUGUGAUACGCUGUCCAUGAUCAUUCACAUUUAUUUCAAGGAAGCUAAUUACAUACCAAGAGGUGUUAAAUAGCUUGAACUUUCUAUAAUUGCCAUGUCUUGCAUUUUGUCAGCCAACUGAAUUGACCAAAUUAACGAAAUUAAAAAUGUGCAUUCUUUAUCAAUUAGAUAGUGAGUGGAGACUUAAUACACUUCACUACUAAAGUCAGGAAAUUUUGUUGGAUAUUUCAAAACACGCUGGCAAUGUCUGCUUUCCUUUGUCUAGAAGUGCUUCUUUUUCUUUCUUGCCUCCUCCAAGCUUAAUUGCAUUUUGCUUCUACUAAUGAGGGGAACUGGUACAUAUUGGUUAAAUACUUUGCUAUUUCUUGGGUAACAUUUCUCACUUAGUAGUUUUGACUCUUUCUCUGCACGUUUUACCAUCUUUUAUGUAUUUGUAGCUGUUUGGAAUAUAGACCCUGCCUGGAAAUUUGUGUUCAUGAUUUUUUUUCAAUGAAAUUAUUGUUCAGAAAUUCUUUAAUUUUUUGUUGUUGUUGUUGUGAACUCCCUGAAUGCUAGACUUCACCAGUGACUAUAUAUAAUAUGAAUAUAAGCAGUCAAGAGUGUACUGUGGUUGCUCUAUUGUAUUUUUUCCCCACCUAUUUGUGCUUAGCAUUGUUGGAGACAAGAUACUGGCCUAGGUGAUCCUGUAGCCUACCCCUAACACAGUGACACUUUUUCUUCCACUGUUACAUUCGAUGUAAGCUUCUCUAUGCACUAAAAAUUAAACUGGUAAUUUUGGAAGCCUCUGAAGUAAAUUGUAAAGUUUUUUUUUUUUUUUUUUUAAUCUAAGUGUGCAUAGUUCUCAUCUUCUUAAGCCCUGGAAUUGAUGCUAAGAUUAAAUCUUUUUUUCUUGCUCUUGUAAUAAAGUGAAUUUCUUGUACAUUAGCACUCUACAGUUUAUUGGGAUCAUGGGAAAGGAGAACUGAAGUUGUAGAUGAUUCUAUUAAGAGUAAUAGCCAAACAUAAAUAUUUGAGGAAUUUCUUAGUAACGGACAAUGAAUGUAUUUUCCUUGUGAAAUGCCAAUCUCAAAUUCACAACAGGAGACAAGAUCAUAACUGUGGGGUGGAUUUUCAGUAGUAGCUGCCAAGAUGUAAGAGACGCUGUGAAAGCAGAUUGUUAGCUAUUAAAUACAUUACUGGGAUGAUAAGAAUUUCAAGUGAUAAGGAAGAGGUACUUUCAUUUUUAAUACCUUUGCAGGAGAGAAGCACUGAAAUGAAUGUCAGAAACGUCUCAGCUUGUUCAUCUAAUGCCUGUAGUCAGGUCUGAGAGAACCAAUGCUUAUUUUAAGUUUAUCUGUUAAACUGAUUAAAAUGUAUCUUUUGAUAGCCUUUUUUGUUUGUUUGUUUGUUUUUCUUUUUGAUAGCUCAGUUGAAAAAUAGGAUAGGGAAAGAUUACUGCACCAAUCACCAAAAUCAAGAAACUGACUCUGCUUAAGCUACUAUUUUCUCAUGCUGAAGGGUUCAGUGGUAUUCUGUUCCCAGUACAGUGAUGCUUCAAAAUGUAGGGAGUCCAUGUUCAUGCACAGGCAGUGUUUUAGGAAGCCAGGCUUGAUUUGGAAAAGGUGACCGGAGAGCUAAGAUGGGUACAGAGUUCCUUGUGUGAUAGCACACUUGUUCCUUAGUUUGGGCUCCACUAAUGCUGUCUGCUAGCAGGUCUGCUGUAUGUCUAGAAGUCAUCAGGAGUGCUGUUUGGCAGAGUCCACAGGUAGUAUCCUCUAAAGUAUCAGUUCUUUUUCGAGAUAGGAGUAAGAAGUAGUGUUCGAGAUCAGAGUCCCUCUUUGGACAAUUUUUUUUUUUUUUUUUUGUAAUGACUUUGAAGAAAAAAUGUAGGAAUGUGGAAAUGUCAGGAGGCAUCACCAACAACUAAUAUUAUGUCAAAAUAUCAGGUAGAGGAGGAAAUAAUGAAUUUGAGAAGUCAGAUUAGAGUAAUGGCCUGAAACGAGCUUCUACAGACUGCAAGCUCAUACAUUUCAAAAGUAAUGAUGCUACAAGCUGAAAGUUGCUGAAAACAACAAAUGAGAGAAAUAAUUUGGGGUAGUAUAAACCUCUGAUGUGUAGUUGAUGUUGUUGCAUUUGGAAAGACAAGCCAAAUCCUGAUAGGUGUCUCUGCUCAAGGUAAGGAGUCAUUAAUGCUGUUUUAUGAGAGGUGAUGAGAUUGCACCUGCAAAACUACAUGUAAUUUUUGUCACCUUUGAGGAGUGGGCAAUACUUAACUUAGGAAAGCUGUUCUUUCUAAAUUGUGCCUUCCUACACAUUUUGCUAACUGUGAAAGCUAACAAACAAGUGAAAUUCACUGUUGGGCAUGUGAAUCAUACAAGCCUUGAAUCUCAUUUAUAUGCUCAGAAUAGGAUUGGCGGAGGACAGGCUCACUUUAAAGGAUUUCCAACUCAGUGAAGCACCAAAAAUCAUAGAAUUUAUGUUAACUUUAGAUGCAUUGCCAAUCUUACUACUUCUUGAGUCUUAAAAUCACUUCAAAAAAAAACAUCUAAGCUCUGUCUAGGAUUGUGCCUUUGCCUUGACAAGCAGACUCCUGGCUUAUGCACCAGAGAUUAUUCAAGUAAAGUGAGGAACUGCUGGGGACAAGGUCUUGCCCAGGUUCCUGGAACAGGUUUGGGGUCUUACUCAAUCUUCUCUUUGCUAUAUGGAGUUUUCCCUUGCUACAGCAAAAUUGCAUGGUCCUCAAUCAAGUUAAUAAGCAGAUUCUCAGAUUUCUGUAAGAUACAAGCCAGAUGAAGAAUUUUACAGUUAUAAGUAGAAUGGAAAUGGAAGGUUAAUGAAGACUUGCAAAAUUAAAAGAAAGAAGGAAGUGUAAAAGUUUUGGAUGGAAUAUGUAUUAUCAUGCUUUAGGAUCUAGAAUAGUAACAUAAAGCUCAGAAACUAACAGGUGCUACAGUAAUGGUGCCAGGACUAUACUUUCAGUUACUUGUCAGGGACACCAUGUGAACAAACUUUCACGUCACAUCUUUCUCUACUAGGAAGACAGAAACUUUAAAUACAGACUUUUAGGAUUCUUGUAUUUGAGUAGCCUCAUGAUCAUCAUCUCCUGGUAUUGUCUAAGGCCUGUAAGUAGCAUUCUAUAAUCAUGCUGCUUUUGCAUAUUUCUUUAUUUAAAAGCAAUGAAAACAAAAAACAAGCUUCAGUUAUGGAUGUGAAAAAUCAUGCAUGUUUAUGCAAUAAGAGUGUGGAAAUAUUUUUGAUUUUUGUAUUCUCUUGCAACUUCAGUGUGUAUCUUCCAAAGGAACCCCUUUUUCCUCCCCUAACUGUGGAUUUCCUUUCAGGGUCUAUAGUCUUCUAAGAAGCACAGAAUCGGAUGAGAAAUAGGAAAAGAUAGUGAAUCCUUAUUAAUUCAAACUAAGGGUAUUGUCUUCACCCUGUGAAAGAUUGCUACCAAAGAACAGUUUAUAGAAUUAAACAAUUCCCAAUGAGGUGAAAUAAUAGUUGGGGGCUCUUUAAGUGGUGGGCCACCACUUAAAGAGCCCCCAUCUGCUUAGCCCAUCUGCUCCUUGUCCUUGCAUCUGCAGCUGCUCUGGAGAAGAAAGCACUGUCCAAAUGCAAUGUGAGUACCUCUGGAGAAAAGUUAGAAGACCUAUGAAAAUACCGUCAAUUAUUUAAGCUUGCAACAAAACAUUUUUAACUGAUUUGUAUGAGAGAAAUAAAAACAAAUGCAAACCUCAAGCAUAGGACUGAAGGAGGCUUGAAGUCCAUCUUCAUUGAUGAAUAGGACAGUGGGAUUGAAUGCAACACUCAACAAGUUUGCUGACAAUGCCAAGGUGAGUGGUGUAGUUAAUAUACUGGAAAGAAGAGAUGCCAUCCAGAGGAACCUUGACAGAUUUCUGAGAUGGGACCAUAAAACAACAUGCAGUUCAACAAGGCCAUAUGCAAAGUCGUGCACAUGGGUAGGUGCAAUCCCAAGUGCAAAUAUGGGCUGGAUGAUCUUUGGACAGAGAAACCCUGAGGAGAAGGGCUUCUGGAACAGGGGGCCCAAAUGAAGAACACAAAAUCCACAAUUUCUAGAGAAGGAAAUAUUUAUUGGCACUUUUAUUUUAAUAGUCACUAUAAUACGCACCACAAUUCAUUGUUAUAAAUAUUUAUAAAUAUUCUGUGGGACUUUAGACCCAUUCAAAUAAAUAAAUAAAUAUUGCAAUAUUUUAAAAGUAAUGCUUUCUAACUAGCUGGUGAUGGCCAGCAUCUCCAUUGAAAAAAUAAUUCUUCUGACACUUUCGAUAAAGUUCCUUAUAGUUACAAAUGUGUUUUUGAUGCAAAAUUUACUGUGCAUUCACUCAACGCAUAAGGAUUAAAUCUCUGAGCAACAGUUCUUGCCUUCUUCUAAUGCACUGAUAUAGAGAUAGUAUAGAGUUUUAACCUUACAGAUUUUCGUCAUCAAAGUUUGAUAUGGAUUGAGACAGAACUUUUCAUGAUUCAGACUUCUGUAGAUCUGUUGACUUUGUGUCCUGGAGAACUAUGUGGAGCACAGAAAAAUUUAUGCUUGUGUAACUGCAGUAGAAAGUUCUCAAGGAGAGAAAGCCAACAACGGUAAAGGAAUUAAGUAAAAUUAUUAAACUAGAACAUAAAAUCAUGUCUUCCCACUGUAUAGGCAACAAGGUAAAAAAUCUUGUGGUAUUUUGAAUAAGCAAGAAAACACAUAACUAUUCCCCUGACCUGCAGUUCUCCAAUCCAUUAGAAUAACUUCUUUCCUUUAAAAACUAAUUAUAAACGUGACGAUAAUAAAUAAUUCGUGAGACAUAACACUUGAUCCAAUCCUAAUCCUGUAUGAAUUAAGAACUGCACUAUCUGGCAAAACCUUUGUAGCAGCAGAAUCAGGUAGUAUGUUAAUUCUAACAUAACUACUUGGAGGUUGUAUAUGAAAACAUAUUUUAUGCGUAUAUAUUUAUGUGUAUGUGUAGAUUAUUUAAAAUGCUGUCAGCAAGAUAGACCCUGCAGAAAAUCUUGAACAGUUUCCAUGAAAACAACACAGUGGGCCUUACUUUUGGUAUUGUAACACUAUUCCAACUUCAGUGGCUUCAGUGAAUUACUUCACUAAAUAGUAGAAAGAGGAAGACUAGAAUCUAGCCUGACAUCUGAUGUGCUAUUUCUAUGAAAUAGGUCGGAUGAAACAUCAUUUUCAGACUGCUGUCAGGCUGUUAGAUAUGCUAAGUAAAUAAAAUGGAAGAAUGUGCACCUUGAAAGAAAGUGCA